rnacentral:rRNA from 1 species
AUGAACGCUAGCGGCAGGCCUAACACAUGCAAGUCGAGGGGCAGCACAGGUAGCAAUACUGGGUGGCGACCGGCGGAUGGGUGCGUAACGCGUAUGCAACCUACCAUUGAUUGGGGCAUAGCCCGAAGAAAUUCGGAUUAAUACUCCAUAAUAUUCAUCAAAGGCAUCUUUUAUGAAUUAAAGCUUUUGCGAUCAAUGAUGGGCAUGCGUGACAUUAGUUAGUUGGUGAGGUAACGGCUCACCAAAACGAUGAUGUCUAGGGGUUCUGAGAGGAUUAUCCCCCACACUGGUACUGAGACACGGACCAGACUCCUACGGGAGGCAGCAGUGAGGAAUAUUGGUCAAUGGACGCAAGUCUGAACCAGCCAUGCCGCGUGCAGGAUGACGGCCCUAUGGGUUGUAAACUGCUUUUCCACGGGAAGAACCCUCCGACGUGUCGGAGACUGACGGUACCGUGGGAAUAAGCAUCGGCUAACUUCGUG